UAGGGAAUCUUCCGCAAUGGACGCAAGUCUGACGGAGCAACGCCGCGUUAGUGAAGAAGGAUUUCGGUUCGUAAAACUCUGUUGUUAGAGAAGAACAGCGCAUAGAGUAACUGUUAUGCGUGUGACGGUAUCUAACCAGAAAGCCACGGCUAACUACGUGCCAGCAGCCGCGGUAAUACGUAGGUGGCAAGCGUUGUCCGGAUUUAUUGGGCGUAAAGCGAGCGCAGGCGGUCAAUUAAGUUGGAUGUAAAAGCCCCCGGCUCAACCGGGGAGGGUCAUUGGAAACUGGUUGACUUAAGUGCAGAAGAGGAGAGUGGAAUUCCAUGUGUAGCGGUGAAAUGCGUGGAUAUAUGGAGGAACACCAGUGGCGAAGGCGACUCUCUGGUCUGUAACUACCGCUGAGGUUCGAAAGCGUGGGUAGCAAACAGG
rnacentral:rRNA from 1 species